rnacentral:rRNA from 1 species
GACGAACGCUGGCGGCGUGCUUAACACAUGCAAGUCGAACGGAAAGGCCCUGCUUUUGUGGGGUGCUCGAGUGGCGAACGGGUGAGUAACACGUGAGUAACCUGCCCUUGACUUUGGGAUAACUUCAGGAAACUGGGGCUAAUACCGGAUAGGAGCUCCUGCUGCAUGGUGGGGGUUGGAAAGUUUCGGCGGUUGGGGAUGGACUCGCGGCUUAUCAGCUUGUUGGUGGGGUAGUGGCUUACCAAGGCUUUGACGGGUAGCCGGCCUGAGAGGGUGACCGGCCACAUGGGGACUGAGAGACGGCCCAGACUCCUACGGGAGGCAGCAGUGGGGAAUAUGACACAAUGGGCGGAAGCCUGAUGCAGCAACGCCGCGUGCGGGAUGACGGCCUUCGGGUUGUAAACCGCUUUCGCCUGUGACGAAGCGUGAGUGACGGUAAUGGGUAAAGAAGCACCGGCUAACUACGUG